UACAGAGGGUGCAAGCGUUGUUCGGAAUUACUGGGCGUAAAGCGUGCGUAGUCGGUAUUGAGAGUCGCGGGUGAAAUCCCAGGGCUUAACCCUGGAACUGCCUGCGAGACCUCAGUACUAGAGUGUGAGAGGGGAUAGUGGAAUACCCAGUGUAGCGGUGAAAUGCGUAGAGAUUGGGUGGAACACCGGUGGCGGAGGCGGCUAUCUGGCUCACAACUGACGAUCAGGCACGAAAGCGUGGGGAGCAAACAGG
rnacentral:rRNA from 1 species